UGAAAAGUGUUUAAUUUGCAGCAUAUGACUGCCUUUCUCCUUAAUAUGUUAAAAUGUCAAUUUUCAAUGUUCAUUCUUUUUCAGUAUUAUAUCAUCUAAUCUUAAUGCUUCUGGUAGGCUCAGGAAACUGUUGUGCUGAGUGUUCUGCAAACGAGCUGCUUCCUUUGGGAUUGUUUUUCCCAGGUUCACUGAAGUUUGUUUUGUCUCAUAGUCUAAAAGGGUUUAUAAUACCUUUAGCACAAUGGUUCAGGGAGCACAAGCGACUGCAAGGGCUGUGCACCACAGACUGUCAUGAAUAUGGAUAGCCUCAGAAGCAUUAACUGUCUUCUCCCAGCUGAUGAUAAGCAAUACAAUGUGAUUGUAAUGUGAAUACCUUCUGGAAAACCUGAACACCAAGACCAUAAUGAUUGAGCAGCAUUUUCUAACCCAGCAGGAGCAGUUGUAGCUGUGGGUCUGUCAACUGUCAGCCAGUGAUGCAGAAAGAAAACAUGCAUCCUACUAACAGUGAAGAUUUCUGUCCUGCAGCUUCAGAUCUGAAAGAGAUACUGCAGCAAGCCAGCCCUCAGGAAGCUUUCUGCAAAAUGGAAUUAUACGUGUAUUAUGAGGGCUUAAAACAAAAUUCCCUUUACAUAAUGAGGUUUUGUCUACUUAAGAAGAUUCCACAGGAAAUGGAAAACAGGUGACACAACACAUUGCUAGAACUUGAAAGCUAACUGACAAAGGAAAAAGAAGAGUUUGGCCUUCUACAGCUUGCAGUGCACAUGCUGACUAAUGGUACGUGGAAGACGUGUGCUGAUGGUGGGAUAUUUGUGAUAUUGUGCAUGCCAAUGUGGUUAUAUUGGAACCUGUGAAUUAACUUGUGAAGUUACAAACUGAUGAGGAAAACUGUGCCCCUUGGAUUAACAGUGAUAAAUAGGUAAACAGACAAACCAGAUAGACAAGUUUGUUAAGGCCUUUCCCUUCUGUAUAACUGAAUUUAAAAAGUUUUCCUGAAGAACUGUACAACUUAGGCACCUGAGUUAAUUAGGGAACAGUAAGGCGUGGGGAAUGAGCUCCCUGUGUGAUGAUGUUUAACUGCUGAGCAACGGAUAAGAACAUUGGUACCUUCUAAUGUUACUAUUUCAACAGUAAAAAGAGAGAAUGUACACACUGAACAUGAACUCAGUAUCCAGAAACCCUAGAAACUUUUUUCAUUGAAAAUUUAGACCCAGAACGUUGUACGCAAAGAGCUGGGGCCUAGCCAAAGGAUUAGGUCUAUUAAGUAUUCAAGAACUGUAGCUCAAAACCAGCAUGAGCUGCAGCUGUGAUCUCAAGUGCCAGUAACAUUUGCAAGGACACAUUAUGUGCAUGUAUACAUAUAUAUACAUAAAAAUAAAUCCUCAUCACCUCUA